rnacentral:rRNA from 1 species
ACACAGGUGCUGCAUUGGCUGUCGUCAGCUCGUGUCGUGAGCUGUUGGGUUCAGUCCCGCAACGAGCGCAACCCUUGUCAUUAGUUGCUACAUUUAGUUGGGCACUCUAGUGAGACUGCCGGUGACAAACCGGAGGAAGGUGGGGAUGACGUCAAGUCCUCAUGGCCCUUAUAGGUGGGGCUACACACGUCAUACAAUGGCUGGUACAAAGGGUUGCCAACCCGCGAGGGGGAGCUAAUCCCAUAAAACCAGUCGUAGUCCGGAUCGCAGUCUGCAACUCGACUGCGUGAAGUCGGAAUCGCUAGUAAUCGUGGAUCAGAAUGUCACGGUGAAUACGUUCCCGGGCCUUGUACACACCG